rnacentral:lncRNA from 1 species
AUAUCACAGUAACAUACUUGCUUGAGUAACAAGGAGCUCAAAUGGUAACACGAGCUGAUAACAUAUAACACACGAGGAUUGAUAACAUUAGAUAAUUUAUCAGUGGCACAUAACAUUGGUUCAUCGGUGCCUAACUUGAUCAUGAGAGCAUACAUAACGGUGGGGAUGGAUCACUACAUACGGUUCAGCUACAAAUAUAGAUAGAUAGCUACAUGGAUGGAUUAUAGAUACUGGCAUCGGUGACCUCCUUUGUCUCUGUGCUUCUCAGACGACCACGGAAACCUCCUCCUGCCGUCCCUUGUUAUCCUCCUGCAUCUUGAGGAGGGAGGCAGCGGACUGGAACUUGAGCCAGGGCAUGUGAGCAUGCCUCACCCGCCUGCGCAGCUCGAACCGCUCACACAUCUUGGCGUAGGUCACGUCAAUGUCUUCGUCCGAGCCGUAGUCCGUCUCGUCCGACAUGUAGUCCAUCUCGUCCGCCUCCGCCAUACCAGGGCCCCUCUGUCCCGCCAGCGCCAUGAACGCCGGGUCAUUCGCCUUGGACUUGGCCUUGACGACGAACGCCUCCUCCUUCUCCUCCUUGGCCUUGACGACGAAAGCCUCCUCCUCCACAUCCGCCUUGGGCUCCUUCUCCGCCCUGGCCUUGAAGAUCGCCGCCACCUUCUCUGCCUCCGCCUUGGCCUUGAGGAUCGCCGCCUCCGCCUCCGCCUCCGUCUUCGCCCUGACCCUGACGAAGGCCUCGUCCUCCGCCGGCUCCGCCCUGGUGGCCCCGACGAACAACUCCGCCUGCUCCUUCUCCGCCUGGAACGGGGUGAAGUGAAAUCCCUCGUAGCCGGCGGCCAUCGGCAUGGCAAACUGCAUCUCCUCAACCGCCAUCGCCGGGUCUCUCUCGCCGAUCUCUCCUGGUGGGUUAGGGUUUGGUGGAUUGGGGAUUUCUCUUCGUCUCUCGCUGGAUCUUGGAACUAAAGGGGUUGAGGCGCCGCGGCUGGCGUAUAUAUGUCCAGGCGAGCCCUAACCCAGGACCCGCCUCGGGUCGGACUCGGGUCCUGUCUCCGGACCGGCCUCUUCCAUCAUACUCGUUCAUUUGGGCUGUGCUGGGCUGGGCUUGGAUGGGGCCACAUCUUCUUUCUUUCUUUCUACUAGCCUGUUUUUUCGGAGAGAGGGGGAGAGAGAAUUCAGAAAAGCUUGGGAUAUUUUCCGGCCAGUGUCUUCCCAUCUUUUGAAGACACGAACACUUUUUGAGUUGUGAAUAUUUUGAAAGGUGAAUAUUUUCAUAAAAUUUCUGGAACAUCUAUUAGAAACACACAAAAAUAAGUUUCAGGUGAAAAAAAGUUUUGAUCCACCUCUGGUGAAAAAGACAAAUUCUCGUUGAUUCAGUUGGAAGCGGGUCAAAUUUGCACUGAAGUUGCCUCAUAGUUUGCUAUUUAUUUUUUCCAAAAAUCAUUUAUAGGUACAUAAGUAUCUAUUUAAUCAGAGAAACACCAAAAAAAUUCCAAGAUUCAACCGCUAGAUAGGAACGGUCAAGCCCGCCGUUUUGACCGCAUUUUGAAACGGGCAUAAAAAAUUCAGAACAAAUCAAAAAAUUGGAAAACCUUCGCAUUGUGUCAUUAUAUGUGACCAAGUUUCCAGUAAAAAUAAUAAACUUGUAAUAUGGUAAUUAUUUUAAAAAAGUGUUCUCAGAAAUGAGCUAUCAAGUGUGAAGAUUCAUGGCUUUCAAGCCAAAUGAUCAAUCUUAUGGCCACAUUCAUGGCAUAGUUUGUUCAAAUGAUCUAAUAUUGUGCAAAAGGGUGCAUAUUGGAAUGGCAAUCAAUGUUGCCUAAGGAAGUUUUCAUUUUCUUUGGACAAAAAAAACCAUUUUCCAUUUUCCGAGUGCCUGAAAUGAGUUUUUUAUUGUGAAGGAUCUACCAUAUAUGUGUUGCAAAAUUGGACCUAAUCAAUUUUAUUAAAUACUAGGUCAUAUUUAAUGCACAAUUGACAAAAUGGUUGGGUGUCAAAAGUUUUAAUCCACCUCUGGUGAAAAAGACAAAUUCCUGCUGAUUCAGUUGGAAGCGGGUCAAAUUUGAACUGCAGGUGCCUCAUAGUUUGCUCUUUAUUUUUUCAAAAAAUAAUUUUUAGGUAAAUAAGUAUCUAUUUAAUCAGAAAUACAUGGUUUGAUGGCGAGACAUCGAGGUUUGGACGGUGGCUGAGGGCCCCAACUCUAGAGCGCAUAAGCUCGCAUGCCCGUCGCGUGGUCACCGCGUGACCGUGGCGUUGCCAUGCGUUCUGGGCAGCCUAGGCAUGUCUAGUGGGUUGUUCACUCCCCAGGUAGAUGCUAGGAAGAACAUUAUAACAUAAGAUUCUCACGAGGAGACCGAUCGAUGCUCAAACAUGAAUAAGCAGCCAAGUGUUUGAUUUGCGGUACGGGAAAUGCACAUGGCUAAUGGGCAUGAGUUUUGGCUGAGGAUGAUCAGUUACUAAGAAGACCAUCUUCACAAAUUUUUAGGGAAAUCAAGAAUAUAUAAAUAACACUUCCUUCACAAAGUGCUGCUCUGAACAGAAUAGGAAAAUGAAUAUUGUUGAGUUAUUUUUGAACUAGGCAAGGAAGGUUUUUGACAUAUUUGAUGAAGAUAUGAUCCAAACAAUUUAUGAGAAUUUUUUGGGAAUUUUUGGAAUAACAGAAAUAUAGGUUGCUUCACAACCUAGGGCAAAAAUUGACACAUGGACAUGACACAUAGGCAAAACUGAUGAGAUGGCGCCUAGUCAUCACAACCCACCACAAUCUACAAGGCUAUGACCAUCUAUAUUGGUCGUUAACAACUAGAAAUAAGGCAGCGGACCUGCACUGUUUGCUUUGUGACCAUUUCGUGUAAGGAAAUUACGACAUUUCUGACCAAAAUGGUCGCAAUGGUUUAGGGUUUGGAGCCCCCCGAACAGCUUUUGACCAAUUGGUCUCAGAUGGUCAUAGAUCUAUGACCAAUUCUUCCAGGGUCACUGACAGAAGGUCACUAGUUGACAUAUUUCUUGUAGUGCACGAUGGCCCCCCUCCACUUAUUCCUGCACCCACACACUUCAUCUUCCUCCCAAAAAAUCACCAUCCAGCUCAAGCAUGAGUUCUAGCUCACUUUGCUGCCAUUUUCGAUCUCCUUGCUCAAAGCUCCAUUCACAAAACUGCUUUGGGGGAUUGUUCUUUGGUAUGUGACUCCUCUAAUGGUCCAAUUAGUUUUUGUUCUAGUGCUUUAUUCAUUGCAAAUUUUUGCUGCCUAGGUGACCCUGUUCUUGAGCUUGCAUGUCAAAUUUAUGAGUUCCCAAGUAAUUCUAAUGCAUGAUAUAGGCUCUAGGCACUGGUGGGAGUAGUUGUUAUCAGUUUUGUUGAGUUUGAUUCACUUUUAUUUUGAGUUACUAAAAAUUUCAGAAAAUUUUCAGAGGAAGAAAUAUGUCCAGGAAAAUAUACCAAGGUGGUUCUUCAAGAAAGCAAGGACCCAGGCUCACAAUGCGUGAGCAGGGCGAUGAACCACCAAGGGAAGCUGACGUGCGGCCUUGUGAAUGGCCGUCAGAAGAGUUUAUGGUCAAAGGAAUCAAGGAUGAAUUUGAUGCAUAUGUGCGUAAUGCCUAUAUUGAGGAUUUUAUGCAAGAUAAGUGUCCUCGGUACUACUAUUUGAUUGAUUCAUUCGUGAGAAGCUUUAAAUUUACAUCUUCGCAUAAUUCUCAGAGUGUCAUGUUUGAUAUUUAUGAUCAAUCAUAUACCAUGGACCUAGAAGAUUUUACUACUGCUUGCAAACUCUCACAGUGGGGUAGUGUAAACGAACCCCGUAAAUCUGAAUAUAAAGACUUUCUUGCUAGUAUCACUGUGGGAGAAUCUAGAGAAAUAGCACAAGCUACCAUAGGGAGCAUUCAUUUUCCUGCUAUAUAUUAUUUUGCUCUUUUCAUUGGUAGAUGCAUUAACGGUAAGGAUGAAGCGUGUCACAUGUGUGUUCCUGAUCUUUGUGUUCUCAAGAGUGCUGUAUUAGGUAAUAAAGAUUACAACUUGGGGGCAAUUGUUGCACGUAAGUUGCAAAAUAAUGGUUUAUUUGGAUAUUUGUUUGGAGGGAUUUAUGCGACCCGUGUUGCUAAUUAUCUUGGUAUACCUCCACGUGAGGGUGAUAGGGAGUUGCCUCCCGCUUAUUUAGAUUAUAAUGCUAUAGUCAGUCAUCAUUUUCUUGAGAAAAAUGAACAAUUCCUCCAGUAUCGACUAAUCUUUGACAGACGUCGCGCUGUCCAUGUUACUCUCCCUGCUCCUGCCCUUUUUGAUUACCAGCCAAAAAGAAGAUAUCUUGUAACCAGGGAGGAGGCAACCGAAUACAAGAGGAGGACGGAGGCAGCUCGAGCAAAUGAUUUUUCAUAUAAAAAUCUUUUUCAUCCGAGUUAGUAUGCAAAAGUUAUGCCCAUUUUACUAAAUUCUAGAGAGAUUUUGCAAAUAAAGUCGAAAUUCACAUUUCAAAUUUUCCCAACAACUAGACCACAUAUCACAUGGGAAACUUAUUUUCUUUUAUUUUUUUGACAUUUUGAUCAUUUUCUUUUAAUUUUUUAAAACUGAAAAGGCGAUCCACCGGGGGGGGGUAGAGUUUGAAAAUGGGACCUUUAGAACCGGUUUGUGCCAUGAACCGGUACUAAUGCCUCAAACCCCAUUAGUACCGGCUGGUGGCUCGAACCGGGACUAUAGGUCUAACCUUUAGUACCGGUUGGUGCCACAAAUCGGUACUAAUGGGCGUCGCACCCUUUAGUCCCGGUUCGUGGCACCAACCGGGACUAAAAGGUCCAGACGAACCGGGACAAAUGGCCCACGUGGCCCCUGGGCUCACGAACCGGGACUAAUGCCUGAAUCGGGACUAAUGGGCUAACCCGGCCUGGACCAAAGCCCUCUUUUCUACUAGUGCACUAUUUUAUUACUCUUCUAUAUUUCUUUCAUACAUUUGGUAGAAUCCUUUAAAAUUCUUUUUAACCCUCCUUUUUUUACAAGAUAACAUAAACACAAGAUAAGGCAUGGACCCUAUAUUUGCACACUAUUUUAUUACUGUUCUAUGUUUAUUUUUUUUAUUUCUUUCAUACAUUUGCUAGACUCCUUUAGAAUUCUUUUUAACACUCCUUCUUUUACAAGAUAAUACAAACGCCAAGAUAAGGCAUGGAACCUAUAUUUGCACACUAUUUUAUUAUUGUUCUGUAUUUUUUAUUUCUUUCAUACAUUUGCUAGACUCCUUUAAAAUUCUUUUUAACACUCCUUUUUUUACAAUAUAAUAUAAACACAAGAUAAGGCAUGGACCCUAUAUUUGCACACUAUUCUAUUACUGUUUUAUAUUUCUUUUUUAUUUCUUUCAUACAUUUGCUAGACUCCUUUAAAAUUCUUUUUAGCACUCCUUUCUUUACAAGAUAAUAUAAACACAAGAUAAUAUAAACCACAAAUAAACUCCAACAGUUCACAUACUACAUUACAAAAAUAUACAAUCUUCCAACAGUCCACAACCACAUGGACUUUAACAGAAGUAAAACAUUAGAUGAUCAAGAUCAAGGAGGGCUACUACCUAGUUUUAAUUACGCGGAGCAAAUGGAACCUCCUCAGUGAAAUGGACCGGUGUGUUGAGAUGUAGGCAAUGGUACAAGCAAGAAAAGCAAAGCUAAAUGUUCAAACAGAGGAUGCCAACAGCAUGGAAUUAUUUCCUGAAGAUCAAAUAACUUUAGAAGGGGAGUUGAAUCUUGCCCUGGGAUUGAAUUAAGUAAUAGGAGGACCACCCGACCUAGCAGUGGAGAAGACGACACCUACGGAGAGGAUGAACCUACAGACAAGAAAAGGUCAGGCUUGCAACCAAGAUCUGCAAGGGAAAUUUUGGUCAAGAGAUGCAUCAGUAGAACAUAGCAAGACGGCUGAAGGUCCAAAAUGCAUCUUGCCUGCCCUGCUAGAAUCACCUCACCACAUCAUUGAACAUAGCUUAGAUCAAUCCUGAUUGUGCAGCAACAAAUCAUUGAAGUCACCGCACCACCACAUAACAGGAAUGCCUCUCAACCAUGACAUUAGCAGAAAAAACAACCUUACAUGUAACAAACAUGUCACAAACACAUAAGCAAGUGCGUGAAUAGGGAAGUCGUGAUGAUACUGUGGUUGAAACAAUCCAAUCAGCACGCACGGGGCAGCUCAGAAACAAUCACAUCACAUGAGAACACUGACAUAUCACAGUAAUACUUGCUUGAGUAACACGAGGAUUGAUAACAUUAGAUAAUUUAUCAGUGGCACAUAACAUUGGUUCAUCGGUGCCUAACUUGAUCAUGAGAGCAUACAUAACAGUGGGGAUGGAUCACUACAUAUGGUUCAGCUACAAAUACAGAUAGAUAGCUACAUGGAUGGAUUAUAGAUACUGGCAUCGGUGACCUCCUUUGUCUCUGUGCUUCUCAGACCACCACAGAAACCUCCUCCUGCCAUCCCUUGUUAUCCUCCUGCAUCUUGAGGAGGGAGGCAGCGGACUGGAACUUGAGCCAAGGCAUGUGAGCAUGCCUCACCCGCCUGCGCAGCUCGAACCGCUCACACAUCUUGGCGUAGGUCACGUCAAUGUCUUCGUCCGAGCCGUAGUCCGUCUCGUCCGACAUGUAGUCCAUCUCGUCCGCCUCCGCCAUACCGGGCCCCCUCUGUCCGGCCAGCGCCAUGAACGCUGGGUCAUUCGCCUUGGACUUGGCCUUGACGACGAACGCCUCCUCCUUCUCCUCCUUGGCCUUGACGACGAAAGCCUCCUCCUCCACAUCCGCCUUGGGCUCCUUCUCCGCCCUGGCCUUGAAGAUCGCCGCCACCUUCUCCGCCUCCGCCUUGGCCUUGAGGAUCGCCGCCUCCGCCUCCGUCUCCGCCCUGACGCUGACGAACACCUCGUCCUCCGCCGGCUCCGCCAUAGUGGCCCUGACGAACGCCUUUGCCUGCUCCUUCUCCCCCUGGAACGGGGUGAAGUGAAAUCCCUCGGAGCCGGCGGCCAUCGGCAUGGCAAACUGCAUCUCCUCAACCGCCAUCGCUGGGUCUCUCUCGCCGAUCUCUCCUGGUGGGUUAGGGUUUGGUGGAUUGGGGAUUUCUCUUCAUCUCUCGCUGGAUCUUGGAACGAAGGGGUUGAGGCGCGGCGGCUGGCGUAUAUAUGUCCAGGCGAGCCCUAACCCAGGACCCGCCUCGGGUCGGACUCGGGUCCCGUCUCCGGACCGGCCUCUUCCAUCAUACUCAUUCAUUUGGGAUGUGCUGGGCUGGGCUUGGAUGGGGCCACAUCUUCUUUCUUUCUUUCUACUAGCCUGUUUUUUCGGAGAGAGGGGGAGAGAGAAUUCAGAAAAGCUUGGGAUAUUUUCCGGCCAGUGUCUUCCCAUCUUUUGAAGACACGAACACUUUUUGAGUUGUGAAUAUUUUGAAAGGUGAAUAUUUUCAUAAAAUUUCUGGAACAUCUAUUAGAAACACACAAAAAUAAGUUUUAGGUGAAAAAAAGUUUUGAUCCACCUCUGGUGAAAAAGACAAAUUCCCGCUGAUUCAGUUGGAAGCGGGUCAAAUUUGAACUGAAGCUGCCUCAUAGUUUGCUAUUUAUUUUUUCCAAAAAUCAUUUAUAAGUACAUAAGUAUCUAUUUAAUCAGAGAAACACCAAAAAAUUCCAAGAUUCAACCGCUAGAUAGGAACGGUCAAGCCCGCCGUUUUGACCGCAUUUUGAAACGGGCAUAAAAAAUUCAGAACAAAUCAAAAAAUUGGAAAACCUUCGCAUUGUGUCAUUAUAUGUGACCAAGUUUCCAGUAAAAAUAAUAAACUUGUAAUAUGGUAAUUAUUUUAAAAAAGUGUUCUCAGAAAUGAGCUAUCAAGUAUGAAGAUUCAUGGCUUUCAAGCCAAAUGAUCAAUCUUAUGGCCACAUUCAUGGCAUAGUUUGUUCAAAUGAUCUAAUAUUGUGCAAAAGGGUGCAUAUUGGAAUGGCAAUCAAUGUUGCCUAAGGAAGUUUUCAUUUUCUUUGGACAAAAAAAACCAUUUUCCAUUUUCUGAGUGCCUGAAAUGAGUUUUUUAUUGUGAAGGAUCUACCAUAUAUGUGUUGCAAAAUUGGACCUAAUCAAUUUUAUUAAAUACUAGGCCAUAUUUAAUGCACAAUUGACAAAAUGGUUGGGUGUCAAAAGUUUUAAUCCACCUCUGGUGAAAAAGAAAAAUUCCCGCUGAUUCAGCUGGAAGCGGGUCAAAUUUGAACUGCAGGUGCCUCAUAGUUUGCUCUUUAUUUUUUCAAAAAAUAAUUUUUAGGUAAAUAAGUAUCUAUUUAAUCAUAAAUACAUGGUUUGAUGGCGAGACAUCGAGGUUUGGACGGUGGCUGAGGGCCCCAACUCUAGAGCGCAUAAGCUCGCAUGCCCGUCGCGUGGUCAUCGCGUGACCGUGGCGUUGCCAUGCGUUCUGGGCAGCCUAGGCAUGUCUAGUGGGUUGUUCACUCCCCAGGUAGAUGCUAGGAAGAACAUUAUAACAUAAGAUUCUCAUGAGGAGACCGAUCGAUGCUCAAACAUGAAUAAGCAGCCAAGUGUUUGAUUUGCGGUACGGGAAAUGCACAUGGCUAAUGGGCAUGAGUUUUGGCUGAGGAUGAUCAGUUACUAAGAAGACCAUCUUCACAAAUUUUUAGGGAAAUCAAGAAUAUAUAAAUAACACUUCCUUCACAAAGUGCUGCUCUGAACAGAAUAGGAAAAUGAAUAUUGUUGAGUUAUUUUUGAACUAGGCAAGGAAGGUUUUUGACAUAUUUGAUGAAGAUAUGAUCCAAACAAUUUAUGAGAAUUUUUUGGGAAUUUUUGGAAUAACAGAAAUAUAGGUUGCUUCACAACCUAGGGCAAAAAUUGACACAUGGACAUGACACAUAGGCAAAACUGAUGAGAUGGCGCCUAGUCAUCACAACCCACCACAAUCUACAAGGCUAUGACCAUCUAUAUUGGUCGUUAACAACUAGAAAUAAGGCAGCGGACCUGCACUGUUUGCUUUGUGACCAUUUUUUGUAAGGAAAUUACGACCUUUCUGACCAAAAUGGUCGCAAUGGUUUAGGGUUUGGAGCCCCCCGAACAGCUUUUGACCAAUUGGUCUCAGAUGGUCAUAGAUCUAUGACCAAUUCUUUCAGGGUCACUGACAGAAGGUCACUAGUUGACAUAUUUCUUGUAGUGCACGGUGGCCCCCCUCCACUUAUUCCUGCACCCACACACUUCAUCUUCCUCCCAAAAAAUCACCAUCCAGCUCAAGCAUGAGUUCUAGCUCACUUUGCUGCCAUUUUCGAUCUCCUUGCUCAAAGCUCCAUUCACAAAACUGCUUUGGGGGAUUGUUCUUUGGUAUGUGACUCCUCUAAUGGUCCAAUUAGUUUUUGUUCUAGUGCUUUAUUCAUUGCAAAUUUUUGCUGCCUAGGUGACCGUGUUCUUGAGCUUGCAUGUCAAAUUUAUGAGUUCCCAAGUAAUUCUAAUGCAUGAUAUAGGCUCUAGGCACUGGUGGGAGUAGUUGUUAUCAGUUUUGUUGAGUUUGAUUCACUUUUAUUUUGAGUUACUAAAAAUUUCAGAAAAUUUUCAGAGGAAGAAAUAUGUCCAGGAAAAUAUACCAAGGUGGUUCUUCAAGAAAGCAAGGACCCAGUCUCACAAUGCGUGAGCAGGGCGAUGAACCACCAAGGGAAGCUGACGUGCGGCCUUGUGAAUGGCCGUCAGAAGAGUUUAUGGUCAAAGGAAUCAAGGAUGAAUUUGAUGCAUAUGUGCGUAAUGCCUAUAUUGAGGAUUUUAUGCAAGAUAAGUGUCCUCAGUAUUACUAUUUGAUUGAUUCAUUCGUGAGAAGCUUUAAAUUUACAUCUUCGCAUAAUUCUCAGAGGGUCAUGUUUGAUAUUUAUGAUCAAUCAUAUACCAUGGACCUAGAAGAUUUUACUACUACUUGCAAACUCCCACAGUGGGGUAGUGUAAACGAACCCCGUAAAUCUGAAUAUAAAGACUUUCUUGCUAGUAUCACUGUGGGAGAAUCUAGAGAAAUAGCGCAAGCUACCAUAGGGAGCAUUCAUUUUCCUGCUAUAUAUUAUUUUGCUCUUUUCAUUGGUAGAUGCAUUAACGGUAAGGAUGAAGCGUGUCACAUGUGUGUUCCUGAUCUUUGUGUUCUCAAGAGUGCUGUAUUAGGUAAUAUAGAUUACAACUUGGGGGCAAUUGUUGCACGUAGGUUGCAAAAUAAUGGUUUAUUUGGAUAUUUGUUUGGAGGGAUUUAUGCGACCCGUGUUGCUAAUUAUCUUGGUAUACCUCCACGUGAGGGUGAUAGGGAGUUGCCUCCCGCUUAUUUAGAUUAUAAUGCUAUAGUCAGUCAUCAUUUUCUUGAGAAAAAUGAACAAUUCCUCCAGUAUCGACUAAUCUUUGACAGACGUCGCGCUGUCCAUGUUACUCUCCCUGCUCCUGCCCUUUUUGAUUACCAGCCAAAAAGAAGAUAUCUUGUAACCAGGGAGGAGGCAACCGAAUACAAGAGGAGGACGGAGGCAGCUCGAGCAAAUGAUUUUUCAUAUAAAAAUCUUUUUCAUCCGAGUUAGUAUGCAGAAGUUAUGCCCAUUUUACUAAAUUCUAGAGAGAUUUUGCAAAUAAAGUCGAAAUUCACAUUUGCAAAUUUUCCCAACAACUAGACCACAUAUCACAUGGGAAACUUAUUUUCUUUUAUUUUUUUGACAUUUUGAUCAUUUUCUUUUAAUUUUUUUAAAACUGAAAAGGCGAUCCACCAGGGGGGUAGAGUUUGAAAAUGGGACCUUUAGAACCGGUUCGUGCCAUGAACCGGUACUAAUGCCUCAAACCCCAUUAGUACCGGCUGGUGGCUCGAACCGGGACUAUAGGUCUAACCUUUAGUACCGGUUGGUGCCACAAACCGGUACUAAUGGGCGUCGCACCCUUUAGUCCCGGUUCGUGGCACCAACCGGGACUAAAAGGUCCAGACGAACCGGGACAAAUGGCCCACGUGGCCCCUGGGCUCACGAACCGGGACUAAUGCCUGAAUCGGGACUAAUGGGCUAACCCGGCCUGGACCAAAGCCCUCUUUUCUACUAGUGCACUAUUUUAUUACUCUUCUAUAUUUCUUUCAUACAUUUGGUAGAAUCCUUUAAAAUUCUUUUUAACCCUCCUUUUUUUACAAGAUAACAUAAACACAAGAUAAGGCAUGGACCCUAUAUUUGCACACUAUUUUAUUACUGUUCUAUGUUUAUUUUUUGUUAUUUCUUUCAUACAUUUGCUAGACUCCUUUAGAAUUCUUUUUAACACUCCUUCUUUUACAAGAUAAUACAAACGCCAAGAUAAGGCAUGGAACCUAUAUUUGCACACUAUUUUAUUAUUGUUCUGUAUUUUUUAUUUCUUUCAUACAUUUGCUAGACUCCUUUAAAAUUCUUUUUAACACUCCUUUUUUUACAAUAUAAUAUAAACACAAGAUAAGGCAUGGACCCUAUAUUUGCACACUAUUCUAUUACUGUUUUAUAUUUCUUUUUUAUUUCUUUCAUACAUUUGCUAGACUCCUUUAAAAUUCUUUUUAGCACUCCUUUCUUUACAAGAUAAUAUAAACACAAGAUAAUAUAAACCACAAAUAAACUCCAACAGUUCACAUACUACAUUACAAAAAUAUACAAUCUUCCAACAGUCCACAACCACAUGGACUUUAACAGUAAAACAUUAGAUGAUCAAGAUCAAGGAGGGCUACUACCUAGUUUUAAUUACGCGGAGCAAAUGGAACCUCCUCAGUGAAAUGGACCGGUGUGUUGAGAUGUAGGCAAUGGUACAAGCAAGAAAAGCAAAGCUAAAUGUUCAAACAGAGGAUGCCAACGGCAUGGAAUUAUUGCCUGAAGAUCAAAUAACUUUAGAAGGGGAGUUGAAUCUUGCCCUGGGAUUGAAUUAAGUAAUAGGAGGACCACCCGACCUAGCAGUGGAGAAGACGACACCUGCGGAGAGGAUGAACCUACAGACAAGAAAAGGUCAGGCUUGCAACCAAGAUCUGCAAGGGAAAUUUUGGUCAAGAGAUGGAUCAGUAGAACAUAGCAAGGCGGCUGAAGGUCCAAAAUGCAUCUUGCCUGCCCUGCUAGAAUCACCUCACCACAUCAUUGAACAUAGCUUAGAUCGAUCCUGAUUGUGCAGCAACAAAUACUCACCGCACCACCACAUAACAGGAAUGGCUCUCAACCAUGACAUUAGCUGAAAAAACAACCUUAAAUGUAACAAAGAUGUCACUACCACAUAAGCAAGGGAGUGAAUAGGGAAGUCAUGAUGAUACUGUGGUUAAAACAACCCAAUCAGCACACACGGGACAGCUCAGAAACAAUCACAUCGCAUGAGAACACUGACAUAUCACAGUAACAUACUUGCUUGAGUAACAAGGAGCUCAAAUGGUAACACGAGCUGAUAACAUAUAACACACGAGGAUUGAUAACAUUAGAUAAUUUAUCAGUGGCACAUAACAUUGGUUCAUCGGUGCCUAACUUGAUCAUGAGAGCAUACAUAACGGUGGGGAUGGAUCACUACAUACGGUUCAGCUACAAAUACAGAUAGAUAGCUACAUGGAUGGAUUAUAGAUACUGGCAUCGGUGACCUCCUUUGUCUCUGUGCUUCUCAGACCACCACAGAAACCUCCUCCUGCCGUCCCUUGUUAUCCUCCUGCAUCUUGAGGACGGAGGCAGCGGACUGGAACUUGAGCCAAGGCAUGUGAGCAUGCCUCACCCGCCUGCGCAGCUCGAACCGCUCACACAUCUUGGCGUAGGUCACGUCAAUGUCUUCGUCCGAGCCGUAGUCCGUCUCGUCCGACAUGUAGUCCAUCUCGUCCGCCUCCGCCAUACCGGGCCCCCUCUGUCCGGCCAGCGCCAUGAACGCCGGGUCAUUCGCCUUGGACUUGGCCUUGACGACGAACGCCUCCUCCUUCUCCUCCUUGGCCUUGACGACGAAAGCCUCCUCCUCCACAUCCGCCUUGGCCUCCUUCUCCGCCCUGGCCUUGAAGAUCGCCGCCACCUUCUCCGCCUCCGCUUUAGC